UCCCUGGUGGCUCAGACGGUAAAUCGUCUGUCUACAAUGCAGGAGACCUGGGUUCAAUCCCUGGUUCGGGAA
rfam:Ovis aries breed Texel chromosome 11, whole genome shotgun sequence.